rnacentral:tRNA from 1 species
GGGUGAUUAGCUCAGCGGUAGAGCACUGCCUUCACACGGCAGGGGUCACAUGUUCGAACCAUGUAUUACCCACCA